GCCUGGCUCCUCCUCUCCUAGACCCAUUUAAGAGCUGACUGCCAGUGGGGAAGGAUCUCUCUGGAGAUCUGCUCUACUGGAGUCUAUUUUGCAAACCUAGGAUAGGGAUGCAACUCAGCCUUGCACCAUCUCAUUGCAGCAGGCCCUUGGGAAAGAAGACUGUCAAGGGUGUGGCUAUAAGGAUGUGCCUGCCAAACCUGAAACAUGGAAGUUCAGCCACCUACAGAACUUAAUUCUUUUUAUGUUCAGAGACGAUUCAUAUUGGAAGGAAUGGGAGAAAAGAAAUUUCUGUCAAUGCUUUCAGAAGGGGAACUGGCUUCUCUCGUAUUGGAAGUAACAUAAGGAGAAGAAGAACACAACAAUGCUGUAUAGAAGAUAAGGAUUUCUUGCUCUUCUGGUAUUUUGCAAUCAUUACCAUCACCUACAAUGGAAGCUGAGAAAAUCCAGGAAGAGAAAUGGGGCAUUUAAAGAGGAGUAUUUCAAAAUUUCAUAGCAGUCUUACUUUUAAAGUUUGUUUCCUUUCUUACUUAAACUCUCUUUAAUGGCAUAUUAUUGUAAAUAGGCAUCACACUAUCUUCACUGAAGUUCACUCAUCACCACCAGGUCAUUGUUUAUCUUUCUCCUUUGCCUUGAACUUGGCUGCUUGCUGCAGUCACUAUUCCAGUUGGUUGAGUUUGAGUGUUGCUGAAAUUUCCUUAAUGUCUGUUUUGACUUCUUAUCUGUUACGUACCACACAGUACUAACCAAAUAUCAUCUGUUUACAAAAACUUUUGCCUCGUGUAUGGUAUCUCUAUGUUCAGAUUAGCUGAUCCACCAUUUGCUGUUAAGUAAUCUCUGCAAGUGUCCUACAGCAGGAAGCACUUAACUUGAAUAAAAUGGAAGGGAAAAAAGUACAAAACUGUUCACAUGACUGCAAUUUUACCUUUUGCCAAAACUUGAGUAGCAAGCUAUGAAAAGUUGUUUCUCCUGAGGAGAAAGUAUGGAUUCAGAUAGUCUAGAAAGAAACCACCUUGAAUGAAUUCAGAUAAAUAAAGGAAAAGAGGGCAAUAAUUGAUGAUGACCAGCUAAAGAGAAUACCGGAGAAAAAAAUUAUUUUAAAGAGCAUUUGCUUUGUAUGACUUGAUCAUAAGGAGAAAGUUGUUAUGGAAAAUCUGGAACUUUCCACAUUUUUUACAGAUACGCUGGGUUUGCCAUAAUUUUCUGUUUUGGCCAUCAUAAUGAUGAACCUCACAGACCAUUCCGAUGGGUUAUUUCACCUGUCCAACAGUUUCCAGGUCAUUAAAGGAUUUACUUCCAAAAAGGAAACAAAAAUAUCUGCUCUCUUAAGUUAAAAUUCAGAAAGUCACCUUUUUCUCCGUACACUCAAAAGGCCCACAAGAACACCAUGCACUUUUAUUCAAAUUACUUAUUUUAGAUGAAAGCAAGCAUGUGAGAAAGAAUAAAUGUCAAAAGUGUAAAAGUCAGCUCAUUUCAUAUAUUUCUUUUGGGAUUGGCUAUCUUAGCUCUAUAUUACAGCAUGACAAACUUCAUACAGAUGCCAUACUUAAUCGGAGGGCUGGAUGUAGUCAAAACAAAAGAUGACCAACAGUGAACAGAGCCCCACUGUGAAAGGACACACUGAAGGAGAUAAGAGUCCUUGUCCCUUCUGUUUCCAACAGAACAAAGCAAAUUUUUUCAAAAAAUAACCCAUUUCUAGCAAAGAUUUCUACCCAGGUGUUGUGUUAAAAAUAACAUUUGUUA